rnacentral:lncRNA from 1 species
CACGAAGGGUGGUGCCUGGGCUGCGGAGUCCUCCAGUGAUAUCGGUCAGGUCUGGUAACCCCGCGCGACUCUGGCCCCCAUGGCACUGAAGCCGCUCGCCCCGCUCCUGCGCGGUUACCACGUGGUCCUGGCGAGCGCUUCGCCAAGGCGGAGGGAGAUCCUCGACCUGGCGGGCGUGGUUUUCGACGUCAUCCCCUCGCACUUCUCGGAGGUCCCGCCCCCGGAGCACCUGCUCCGCCCUCAGGACUUGGUGAUUGCAAAUGCCAAAGGGAAAGCCUUGGACGUCGGAAUGCGCCUAAGCCAGAUGAUGGCGGGGUUUCAGGCUGUUCUGUGUUACGGGUGGGGCUCCUGGUCAGGUGGAGGAGUUUCCUGGUAAGAGGCAGAGAUUUGAGGCCAGGGGAGUGGAUUCUGAUUGUGGGCGUGGCUUCACCUUAAGGCCCUGGACUUCCCUUUCCUGGCUCUGCCCACCUCUUCCUGCUUGGUAGGCAGAGCUUCCCAUUUUGGGGUUGGAUUUUCCCUGUCAGGGGCGGGGUUUGCCCGCCCAUCACUCAACCAUGACCCUGCCCACCAACCCCAGGCUGACCCGGAGACCCAGCACCUCAUCAUUGGAGCGGACACCAUUGUGGCCAUGGAGGGGCAGAUCAUGGGGAAGCCCUGCGACCGUGAAGAUGCACUCCGGAUGUUAACCAGGUGGGCGGGGCCUCCCCGGGUGCGUGGCCAAACCCUGACCCCAGGCACUUACCCUACACCUGCUGGGCCCCACCCCCAGGCUGAACGGUCGUGAGCACAGUGUCAUCACCGGUGUCGCCAUCAUCCUUACGGGUGGAGCAGGCACCCGUGACGCAGAGGUGGUGGUGGUCUUCCACGAGGAGACGCUGGUGACAUUCUCGAAGCUGUCAGAUGAGCUUGUGCAGGAGCAUGUGGAGGGCGGGGAGCCCUGGGACAAGGCGGGGGGCUACGGGCUGCAGGCGCGGGGCGGAGCGAUAAUGGCAGAGGCCGUGCGGGGUGACCCCCUCAAUGCAGCGGGGCUCCCUCUCAACCGGCUCUGCCGCGAGCUGGGGCGCCGGCUGCUGCCUUCGGGACCAGGACAGGAAGUGGAGUCGCAGACAUGAAGUUAUGUCAUCACAGCCGAAGUGACAGGAAGUAAUGUUACAAACAGGACCCCUGUGUGACCGCCCCCCCCCCCAACCGCCACCCGGGUCAUGGUGUAAUAAAGGUCGAUAAGGUGGACAGAGUUUC